rnacentral:lncRNA from 1 species
GGAAAAACCCCCUCCCUCCUCGGCUCCUUAGCUGAGAACUCCUUUUCCCUGGUCCCAACGGGACGACAGCUUUUACUCCUCUCAGCUUGUGCAAAAUACCUGAAGGAUAAGAACUACUUUCUGAUAAUCUGCUCACAAAAUGGUUGAGAAAGCUGCAUUUUUUUUUUGUACUCUACUUGUGAAAAUGAUUGUCUAGUGCAGGCUUCCUUGAGGAAUACAUAACCCCCUCUAACCCGACCAUAAUUGGACAAAUAGGAGCUCAGGAGUGAGAAGGAGAAGAUCCCAAGUGUUCUUCUGACUCGAUCAGAUUGAUUCUGUUUAGAGUGGCCUAGGGUAAAGAAUUCAUGUGUCCUUCCCAACCAUCUGUUCUUUAGCCUAGGUGAACUGUCCAAGGAGAACCGUGACAGUGCUGUCCUGGGCAGAUAGCAAGAGUGGAUGGUGCGUGAUCACUGGUGGGAAAUUGCUUUGCAUGUGCUUUAUCUCUUACUUCCCUUGUUUCUCACUCCAUUCUGGAAGUUGCUUUGGAGGAUGGGAUGGCAUUAAGGUGAAGAGUGAAAUUAUUUUGGUCUUGGUAAGGGAGUCUGUGUUCUUUGAAUUGUAUCAGAGUCUAAUGGAGGGGAAAAUAUCCAAUUCAUUCCAGGAGUUAGAAUGUCCCCUGAACUAUUUUGUUUCUAAGAGCUGCAUGUAAACUGGUUAAAAAGUAUGAACUCCAGAUCCAUACUGCCGGGAAUUCAAUCAAGACUCAAUUUUUAGAGGUGUGACCUUGGACAAGUCACUUAACCUCUUUGUGC